CAUUAUGGUGAGUUGGGCAGGGGAACCGAAAGGUUCGCCGGGUUCUUUGGUGUCCGGUAGUUCCAACCCUGCUCAGCUCACCACCAGC
rnacentral:antisense_RNA from 2 species